UACAGAGGUGGCAAGCGUUGUCCGGAUUUACUGGGCGUAAAGAGCGCGCAGGCGGUCGUUCAAGUCGCGUGUGAAAGCCCCCGGCUCAACUGGGGAGGGUCACGCGAUACUGAUCGACUCGAAGGCAGGAGAGGGAAGUGGAAUUCCCGGUGUAGUGGUGAAAUUCGUAGAUAUUCGCAAGAACACCAGUGGCGAAGGCGGCUCACUGGCCCGGUACUGACGCUGAGGUGCGAAAGCGUGGGGAGCAAACAGG
rnacentral:rRNA from 1 species